rnacentral:misc_RNA from 1 species
ACGGCUUAUCAGAGUUCAUAUUAUGUAACACGUAUGCAUGCAAGCAAUGCUGUGGAUGGCAACACUAAUCAAACAAAUGUAGAAUUGUGUAUCCUGACCGGCACUAACCAGUCAUCUAACUGGUGGGAAGUGGAUUUGGGUCAAAACUAUUUCAUCCAUCAGGUCGUCAUUUACUUCAGAGUACCCUGGAAAUGGAGGCGAAAUGGAAUCCAGGUAUACACCUCUAUGAUCCCACGACAGAUUAAAGAUGGACAACCAUGUGAUCAACGAAUCACAGGUAGCAUGGAUGGAGCAAAUAUUCCAGAUGUGACAUACAGAACAUGUGAUGUGUUGGGGAGAUAUGUGACACUGUACACAGACAUUGAUAAUAAAGGAACGUGUAACUACUGUUCGGGUUCAGUGGCCAUGGACUUCUGUGAAAUUCUUGUUAUGGCAUGUGAACCUAACGUCAAAUAUGGGUCUAACUGUAACAAGAUGUGUGUUGAUCGGAAAUGUGCUGACAAAGCUUCAUCCUGCAACAUGGCUGGCACCUGUCACGGAGGGUGCCAAAAUGGCUGGAAGAACCCUGAUUGUACUCAAUUUCAAGAUGUGAACGAAUGUAGGACCGGAGAGAGUACGUGCGACACCAACGCUGACUGCAAGAAUACACCUGGAUCGUACACGUGCAUCUGUCGAGAUGGAUAUACUGGAGAUGGACGAACAUGCACAGAUGUGAACGAAUGUAAGACCGGAGAGAGUUCAUGCGACACCACGCUGACUGCAAGAAUACACCUGGAUCGUACACAUGCACCUGUCGAGAUGGAUACACUGGAGAUGGACGAACAUGCACAGAUCUUCCACAAAAAUCUUCAGACACUGUGAUCACUGCUUUAGCAGCCACUAUGGGCAUAUUCAUUUUGCUCUUUGUGAUUUCGAUUAUCGUCAUCAUUAGAUUUGUCAUGAUUGAUAGAAAGCGAUCAAAACUGACAGAGUCAACUGCAGCAUUUUCCGACAUAAAACGAAAUGAAAAUAACCAAACGACAGCAACAGAAGAUGUGGGUGUUGACAACACAGCUGGAGGUUCCCAG